rnacentral:rRNA from 1 species
AUCUAUGGACAUAGACCUGUGACUUAACCCUCUCUUUUCUGAUCUUAGAAGCUGAGGCAGGUUAGGCCUGGUUAUUACUUGAAUGGAAGAACACUUGUGGAUUUCAGGUGCUGUGGGCU